rnacentral:rRNA from 1 species
AAUGAACGCUGGCGGUGUGCUUAACACAUGCAAGUCGUGCGCGAACGUGGCUUCGGCCACUAGUAGAGCGGCGAACGGGUGAGUAACACGUGGGUGAUCUGCCCAAGUGCGGGGAAUAACCUGGGGAAACUCGGGCUAAUGCCCCAUAAUCUUUCCAGGCUGCGGCCUGGUCAGGAAAGCUGGCCUCUGUUURCAUGCUAGCGCACUUGGAGGAGCCCGCGGUGGAUUAGCUAGUUGGUGGGGUAAGAGCCCACCAAGGCGACGAUCUAUAGCCGGCCUGAGAGGGCGAUCGGCCACACUGGGACUGAGACACGGCCCAGACUCCUACGGGAGGCAGCAGUGGGGAAUAUUGGACAAUGGGGGAAACCCUGAUCCAGCAACACCGCGUGGAGGAAGAAGGUCUUCGGAUCGUAAACUCCUGUCAGGCAGGACGAAGGUACGUUGGCGAAUAGUCAGCGUGCUUGACGGUACUGCCAGAGGAAGCCCCGGCUAACUCCGUGCCAGCAGCCGCGGUAAUACGGAGGGGGCGAGCGUUAUUCGGAAUUAUUGGGCGUAAAGGGCGUGUAGGCGGCUUUGCAUGUCAAAGGUGAAAUCCCUCGGCUCAACCGAGGAACUGCCUUUGAAACUGCAUUGCUCGAGGCCGGGAGGGGCCAGUGGAAUUC